UCCCCGCUCGUUCAAUGGAAGGACACCCGGCUUUGACCCGGGAGAUCGCGGUUCAAGUCCGUGGCGGGGAGCCA
rnacentral:tRNA from 1 species